CUCUUAUCGAGAGUGGCAGAGGGACUGGCCCGAUGAAGCCCGGCAACCAUUCAUUUUUAUGAACAGGUGCUAAAUCCUGCAAAAUACGGAGGUAUUUUGAAAGAUAGGAG
rnacentral:ncRNA from 2 species